rnacentral:lncRNA from 1 species
CUGGGAUCGAGUCCCAUGUCGGGCUCCCUGCUCAGCAUGGAGUCUGUUUCUCCCUCUGCCUCUCCUCCCUGCUCAUGCUGUCUCUCUCUCUCUCUCAAAUAAAUAAAUUAAUUAAAAACAAACAAACAAACAAUAACCAAGAUCAUUACAGAACCAGAGAGGAGCUGGGAAGGAAGGAGAUCACAGGGCCUUUGCACGGGCAGGUUCCUCUGCCCUGGAGUGUGUUUCCCACAGAGGCUCAUGGGUUGUGCCCAUCCCUUCCCUGCUCCCUCCCCUCACUCUGCACCCUGCUUGCCUUCCCCCUCCGGAGCACCCUUCGGGGUUGGGCAUCUCAGUGUGUUUCUUUGUUUGCUCAUUUAAUGCAUGUCUCCCAUUUUGGACUGGGCGCUGGGGUGGAUCAGGAGCGUGUCUGACCCAUCUCUGAACCAGCCGCGGUGCCAGGGCCAGGCCCAUGGAACAUAUGGAUUCUAAAGAAUGUAAAGGAAAUAAUCUUUCAAGCUGAGAAGUCACCUGAGGCAGCGUGGGGUGUGUCUUCAUGAGAAAUUUCAUGGGGAACAUGGGUACCUGCCCCGGGCACGGGACCCGCCAGCAGCAGACCUGCAAAAGGCCCUCAGAAAUCCAGACCCCGGGGAAAGGAGCAGAGCUGCCUCAUCUGGGGGCCAUGGGGACAAGGAGAAUCGACCCCUUCCCCGCCUCUAGACUCUCCUGGGUGAUCAGGGGCGUCCAUGGGAGUGUGGGAUGUGGACGUCUCCCACCAAGCUCCUCUGGGGACAGCCUCACUCUUCUCCGAGGCCGUCCGCACUCAGUUUUGACCAUAUUUGCCUCAGAGCCAAGUGGCCACCCGGUGGGGCCGUGGGGGUGUGAGCCGUUGGGGGGCAGGGUGGACCUCCAUCCCUGUGAACCAGCUUGAGCAGUCCCCUGGGCCACAAGACCCCUGCAGGCAGGGACCUGGAAGAAGGGAUAAGCCCGCUGGGGGGCAGGGGGGUGGGCGGCGCCAAGGGGACCAGGAGGCUUGUCGUACUUCAGGAGCCGCCGUGGAGCGUGGAGCCCCUGAGUCUUCCUGCCAAGGCUCUCUGCCUUGGCAAGCAGCUUCUCUUCUUGGAACCUCAGUGUCUCAUGCUUAAAAUGGUAUAAUACAAACCCGACCUGGGUUUGGCUGCGGG